rnacentral:misc_RNA from 1 species
ACAAACUUGGUCAUUUAGAGGAAGUAAAAGUCGUAACAAGGUUUCCGUAGGUGAACCUGCGGAAGGAUCAUUACCAACCUUUGGUGAGCCUUGGAUUCGUCCAUGGUCUCGCGAAAACUUGUAUUUAAAACCCGCUCAUAUAACUAAAAACAUGUAGUAACAUGAUAAUUUAAAGAUCACUUUCAACAACGGAUCUCUUGGCUCUCUUAGAGGAAGUAAAAGUCGUAACAAGGUUUCCGUAGGUGAACCUGCGGAAGGAUCAUUACCAACCUUUGGUGAGCCUUGGAUUCGUCCAUGGUCUCGCGAAAACUUGUAUUUAAAACCCGCUCAUAUAACUAAAAACAUGUAGUAACAUGAUAAUUUAAAGAUCACUUUCAACAACGGAUCUCUUGGCUCUCGCAUCGAUGAAGAACGCAGC